ACCGUCCCAGUUCGGAUCGCAGGCUGCAACCCGCCUGCGUGAAGUCGGAAUCGCUAGUAAUCGCGGAUCAGCAUGCCGCGGUGAAUACGUUCCCGGGCCUUGUACACGCCGCCCGUCACACCAUGAGAGUCGGGAACACCCGAAGCCCGUAGCCUAACAGCAAUGAGGGCGCGGUCGAAGGUGGGUUCGAUAAUUGGGGUGAAGUCGUAACAAGGUACC
rnacentral:rRNA from 1 species